AGAUCCUGAAACCGUGUGCCUACAAGUAGUCAGAGCCCGUUAACGGGUGAUGGCGUGCCUUUUGUAGAAUGAACCGGCGAGUUACGAUCCCGUGCAAGGUUAAGUCGAAAAGACGGAGCCGCAGCGAAAGCGAGUCUGAAUAGGGCGACAUAGUACGUGGUUGUAGACCCGAAACCAGGUGAUCUACCCAUGUCCAGGGUGAAGUUCAGGUAACACUGAAUGGAGGCCCGAACCCACGCACGUUGAAAAGUGCGGGGAUGAGGUGUGGGUAGCGGAGAAAUUCCAAUCGAACCUGGAGAUAGCUGGUUCUCUCCGAAAUAGCUUUAGGGCUAGCCUCGAGAUGAGAGUAUUGGAGGUAGAGCACUGAUUGGACUAGGGGCCCCCAACGGGUUACCGAAUUCAGUCAAACUCCGAAUGCCAAAUACUUAUUCUCGGGAGUCAGACUGCGAGUGAUAAGAUCCGUAGUCAAGAGGGAAACAGCCCAGACCACCAGCUAAGGUCCCAAAGUAUACGUUAAGUGGAAAAGGAUGUGGAGUUGCUUAGACAACCAGGAUGUUGGCUUAGAAGCAGCCACCAUUUAAAGAGUGCGUAAUAGCUCACUGGUCGAGUGACUCUGCGCCGAAAAUGUACCGGGGCUAAACGUAUCACCGAAGCUGUGGAUUGACAUCUACGAUGUCAGUGGUAGGAGAGCGUUCUAAGGGCGUUGAAGCUAGACCGUAAGGACUGGUGGAGCGCUUAGAAGUGAGAAUGCCGGUAUGAGUAGCGAAAGACAAGUGAGAAUCUUGUCCACCGAAUGCCUAAGGUUUCCUGAGGAAGGCUCGUCCGCUCAGGGUUAGUCGGGACCUAAGCCGAGGCCGAAAGGCGUAGGCGAUGGCCAACAGGUUGAUAUUCCUGUACUACCUCCCCACCGUUUGAGCAAUGGGGGGACGCAGGAGGAUAGGGUAAGCGCGCUGCUGGAUAUGCGCGUCUAAGCAGUUAGGCUGAUGAGUAGGCAAAUCCGCUCAUCGUGAAGGCUGAGCUGUGAUGGCGAAGGGGCCAAGGCCCCGAAGUUCCUGAUUCCACACUGCCAAGAAAAGCCUCUAGCGAGGUGGGAGGUACCCGUACCGCAAACCGACACAGGUAGGCGAGGAGAGAAUCCUAAGGUGAUCGAGAGAACUCUCGUUAAGGAACUCGGCAAAAUGACCCCGUAACUUCGGGAGAAGGGGUGCUCUGUUAGGGUGUUAAAGCCCGAGAGAGCCGCAGUGAAUAGGCCCAGGCGACUGUUUAGCAAAAACACAGGUCUCUGCGAAGCCGUAAGGCGAAGUAUAGGGGCUGACGCCUGCCCGGUGCUGGAAGGUUAAGAGGAGGGGUUAUCCUUUGGGAGAAGCUCUGAAUCGAAGCCCCAGUAAACGGCGGCCGUAACUAUAACGGUCCUAAGGUAGCGAAAUUCCUUGUCGGGUAAGUUCCGACCCGCACGAAAGGCGUAACGAUCUGGGCACUGUCUCAACGAGAGACUCGGUGAAAUUAUAUUACCUGUGAAGAUGCAGGUUACCCGCGACAGGACGGAAAGACCCCGUGGAGCUUUACUGUAGCCUGAUAUUGAAUUUUGGUACAGCUUGUACAGGAUAGGUAGGAGCCUGAGAAGCCGGAGCGCUAGCUUCGGUGGAGGCGUCGGUGGGAUACUACCCUGGCUGUAUUGAAAUUCUAACCCGCAGCCCUUAUCGGGCUGGGAGACAGUGUCAGGUGGGCAGUUUGACUGGGGCGGUCGCCUCCUAAAAUGUAACGGAGGCGCCCAAAGGUUCCCUCAGAAUGGUUGGAAAUCAUUCGUAGAGUGUAAAGGCACAAGGGAGCUUGACUGCGAGACCUACAAGUCGAGCAGGGACGAAAGUCGGGCUUAGUGAUCCGGUGGUUCCGCAUGGAAGGGCCAUCGCUCAACGGAUAAAAGCUACCCCGGGGAUAACAGGCUUAUCUCCCCCAAGAGUCCACAUCGACGGGGAGGUUUGGCACCUCGAUGUCGGCUCAUCGCAUCCUGGGGCUGUAGUCGGUCCCAAGGGUUGGGCUGUUCGCCCAUUAAAGCGGUACGCGAGCUGGGUUCAGAACGUCGUGAGACAGUUCGGUCCCUAUCCGUCGUGGGCGCAGGAAAUUUGAGAGGAGCUGUCCUUAGUACGAGAGGACCGGGAUGGACGCACCGCUGGUGUACCAGUUGUCUUGCCAAAGGCAUCGCUGGGUAGCUAUGUGCGGACGGGAUAAAUGCUGAAAGCAUCUAAGCAUGAAGCCCCCCUCAAGAUGAGAUUUCCCAUAGCGCAAGCUAGUAAGACCCCUGAAAGAUGAUCAGGUUGAUAGGUCAGAGGUGGAAGCAUGGUGACAUGUGUAGCUGACUGAUACUAAUCGGUCGAGGACUUAACCA
rnacentral:rRNA from 1 species